AUAGCAGUAGUAUAAUUAAUAUUUUGUCUUUCCAAGUCAAGGAUUCAUUUGAUGGUGGUUGCUAUA
rnacentral:tRNA from 1 species